UAAAAUUUUGAAACAUUUCAUGGUGUUUAAGGCCUCUUAUUACAUUGUUGUAUAAAAAUCAGGACUUAAUUACAAAGUUAACAAAACAUGCCCAAAACACUCAGCGAGCCAUGUUGAGAAGACACGAUUUUUCACGUCACAAUGUCGCUUGGAAGGGGACUUUCGCCCUGACAAUGUGAUAACGUCCUGACGACCAAUUCUCAUUGCAAUGUCAUUUAAUGCUUGUUACGACAUCGACUACAAUAUUUGCAGAAAAAUUACAGCAAUUUGCAUAUGACACUUUUACACCAAGCUUGACAUACCAUUUCAUUUUUUCUUACCAAUUUCCUUAUUCUGACAUGUCAUGUGGCAUACACAGAUCACUCAAGACAUGCUCAAUUACAUUUAACAUACUUUAACAUGCUUUGGCCAAUCAAAUAAGUUGGUAUGCUAACAUGCAUUUUUAAAGUCCUAAAUUAAUUUACUCAACGUACUAAAUUUGCAUAUAAGGAAAUUUUAAGUGCAAUAUAGGUCCAUACCUUGCCAUUUGGUCGGUUUGGAUUUGUCCAAGCAUUCAUCCAGUCAUUUAAGCAUUUAUAACCACAAUUCACUAAGGGACAUGUAUGCUAAUCAACAUAUAACCUAACCAUUUAUCUAACAUCAUUCAUGCAACAAUUCAAACAAUAAAGGCAUAAAAAAACCAAUUAUAAAAGUCCUUAAAUAGUGCAUGGAAUUCCCAUUUACAAACCAAAACAAAAGCUAAAGUUUAAUCCCUCAAUAUGAUCCCAUAUUGCCAUUAUUUAUUAUCUAAGAAAACCAUCUCACAUACACAAUUAAGAUGCUUUGCCUUGGGAUCACAAGCUUGGUCACUUCACCACUCCACACAAGCUAUUUCUCUGCAAAAAUAAAUUCAAGAGAGUGUGAGCUUAAACAAGCUCAGUGAGUGCUCAAGAUGCUACAAUAAACCAUAAUAUCAAGGGUUAAAAACAAGUAUAAAAAGCACAUAACACUUAUCACCAAUAAUCAUUUAAUCAAGUUGAUACAUUGGCAUCUUGUGAUAAUGAAAUAUGUAUAAAAAUUCAACACAUCGGAUACUUAGAUCCCUAUCACACCAAUGACUCAUAGAGUCUAACAUGUCUCAAGUAAGUCUAGCAUUAAGCUAACACUCUCCAAUACACCAAACAUAUCCCUUUGAAUGGAGCUUUUCUUUACAUUCCCUUAUCCCUCCAACAUGUCCCAAUAUCAAAACAUAUAUAAGAGUACUCAAAUCCUGUGGCAUUCCAUCUAUAUUCAAUGCUUUUUAGAGAUCUACAAGACCAAUAUAUCCAUAUUACACAUUCAUUUUCUGGUUUGUGCUCACUUACACACAUCAUACCUACAUCACAUUUCACAUAUUCAUAUCAUGCACUUUCAAGAGCAAUCACUUUACUCAUUGAGACACAUACACUUUCAUAUCAUAUGUGUGUGCAUAAAACCAACUGAUUAUAAGUUACUUUCUGACAUAUUCACACUAUGUGUAAUCAUAUUAACACAUCAUAUACAUAACACAUCACAUAUAAGCUUAGUUUGCAAAGUAACACAAGCUUAAGUAAGAACACUUACUCUUGGAACUUAGGAUAGGUGAUUAGGCUACCUAAGCUCCCCUUUAACACUUUGGUUUUUACAUUAAUAAUAGUACACCAGUUCACUCACCUUUGAAACCUUUGCUUCAAUGACAAAAACUCAAGUAAGCUUUUGUUUGCCUUUGUCUUACUUGUAGAAGCUCCCAAAUGAUUUGACACUUCACAUACACAUCAAACACAAUGCAAGUACAUUACAAACAACAACAAGCCCAAUCAACUCAUUCCAGAAUUACAGAUCUAACCUUCUCAUUCACAAUAUCAAAAACUAACUAGUUUUGCUGAAAUAGGGAUUUCAACACUCAAACCCCAUUUCCAAGCCUCAAUUUCAAUUUCAAAUAUCCUAAUAUCAUUUAAUUACAGAUCUAGACCAUCAAUUUCAUCUAAUUACACAAAUCUAACUUUUUCGAUAAAAUCAAGCUUGUAUUAACAUUAAGAAGGGGAAAAUGUCAAAUUUAUUAAAAUUCAUUAAGGAUUUGUUAAAUUAAGAUAAAAUAUACCUUUUAAUUAGAUUAAAAUGAGUUUAAAAUCACUUUAAAAUAGUUACUUAGCUUAGUAUUACGAGAUCUACCAUUUUCAAACAAAAAAUUGGUUUAAAAUCAUUAGAUCUAUUGAAAUCUUGAUUAAAUCAAUUAAAACUUAAAUUGAAUUGACAAAAUACUUAAUUUAAUCAUAAAAAGUCGGGAUGUUACCUCAAUUUUGAAGAAAUCAAUGGGUUGAGGAUCAAAUUCAAGCUAAAACGUGCUAAGAACAAUGGUGAAAUGGAAGGAAAAAAUACGAGUUUUCUUUAAAAUUGAAUAAGGAAAUUGUGUUUGUUUGACUAGAACAUAAAUAAUGAUGAAUCAAUUCUGAGAGAAACCUCAUAUUUAGAUUUUAGAAGAAAUUUGAA
rnacentral:lncRNA from 1 species